rnacentral:rRNA from 1 species
AGAGUUUGAUCCUGGCUCAGGAUAAACGCUGGCGGCGUGCAUGAGACAUGCAAGUCGAACGGGCUUCUCGGGCUUGCUCGAGAGGCUAGUGGCGGACGGCUGAGUAACGCGUAGGUGACCUGCCCCGAAGUGGGGAAUAACUGCCCGAAAGGGUGGCUAAUACCGCAUGCGAUCGUUUGUUCAUUCGAACGAUCAAAGCCGUAAGGCGCUUUGGGAGGGGCCUGCGUCCGAUUAGCUCGUUGGUGGGGUAAUGGCUCACCAAGGCGACGAUCGGUAGGUGGUCUGAGAGGACGAUCACCCAGACUGGGACUGAGACACGGCCCAGACUCCUACGGGAGGCAGCAGUCGGGAAUUUUGCUCAAUGGGGGAAACCCUGAAGCAGCAACGCCGCGUGAGGGAUGAAGGCCUUCGGGUUGUAAACCUCUUUUAUCAGGGACGAUAAUGACGGUACCUGAUGAAUAAGCCACGGCUAACUACAUGCCAGCAGCCGCGGUAAUACGUAGGUGGCAAGCGUUGUCCGGAUUUACUGGGCGUAAAGAGCGCGCAGGCGGUCGUUUAAGUCGAAUGUGAAAGCCCCCGGCUCAACUGGGGAGGGUCAUUCGAUACUGAUCGACUUGAAGGCAGGAGAGGGUAGUGGAAUUCCCGGUGUAGUGGUGAAAUGCGUAGAUAUCGGGAGGAACACCAGUGGCGAAGGCGACUACCUGGCCUGUUCUUGACGCUGAGGCGCGAAAGCUGGGGGAGCAAACGGGAUUAGAUACCCCGGUAGUCCCAGCCGUAAACGAUGGACACUAGGUGUUGGUGGUAUCAACCCCGCCAGUGCCGUAGCUAACGCAUUAAGUGUCCCGCCUGGGGAGUACGGCCGCAAGGCUAAAACUCAAAGGAAUUGACGGGGGCCCGCACAAGCGGCGGAGCAUGCGGAUUAAUUCGAUGCAACGCGAAGAACCUUACCAAGGCUUGACAUAUAGGGAAAACUCAUGGAGACAUGAGGUCCGCAAGGGCUCUAUACAGGUGGUGCAUGGUUGUCGUCAGCUCGUGUCGUGAGAUGUUGGGUUAGGUCCCGCAACGAGCGCAACCCU